GUAGUCAUUAGCUUGUCUCAAAGAUUAAGCCAUGCAUGUCUAAGUAUAAGCAAUUAUACUGCGAAACUGCGAAUGGCUCAUUAAAUCAGUUAUCGUUUAUUUGAUAGUACCUUACUACUUGGAUAACCGUGGUAAUUCUAGAGCUAAUACAUGCUGAAAAUCCCGACUUCGGAAGGGAUGUAUUUAUUAGAUUAAAAACCAAUGCCCUCUGGGCUCACUGGUGAUUCAUGAUAACUUCUCGAAUCGCAUGGCCUUGCGCCGGCGAUGGUUCAUUCAAAUUUCUGCCCUAUCAACUUUCGACGGCUGGGUCUUGGCCAGCCAUGGUGACAACGGGUAACGGAGGGUUAGGGCUCGACCCCGGAGAAGGAGCCUGAGAAACGGCUACUACAUCCAAGGAAGGCAGCAGGCGCGCAAAUUACCCAAUUCCGACACGGAGAGGUAGUGACAAUACAUACUGAUACAGGGCUCUUUUGGGUCUUGUAAUUGGAAUGAGUACAAUUUAAAUCCCUUAACGAGGAACAAUUGGAGGGCAAGUCUGGUGCCAGCAGCCGCGGUAAUUCCAGCUCCAAUAGCGUAUAUUAAAGUUGUUGCGGUUAAAAAGCUCGUAGUUGAACCUUGGGCCUGGCUGGCCGGUCCGCCUCACCGCGUGCACUGGUACGGUCGGGCCUUUCCCUCUGGGGAACCGCAUGCCCUUCACUGGGUGUGUCGGGGAACCAGGACUUUUACUUUGAAAAAAUUAGAGUGUUUAAAGCAGGCUUAUGCUCGGAUACAUUAGCAUGGAAUAAUAGAAUAGGACGUGCGGUUCUAUUUUGUUGGUUUCUAGGACCGCCGUAAUGAUUAAUAGGGACAGUCGGGGGCAUCAGUAUUCAAUUGUCAGAGGUGAAAUUCUUGGAUUUAUUGAAGACUAACUACUGCGAAAGCAUUUGCCAAGGAUGUUUUCAUUAAUCAGGAACGAAAGUUAGGGGAUCGAAGACGAUCAGAUACCGUCGUAGUCUUAACCAUAAACUAUGCGAACUAGGGAUCGGACGAUGUUAUUAUUUGACUCGUUCGGCACCUUACACGAAAGUACAAGUUUCUGCGUUCCGGGGGGAGUAUGGUCGCAAGGCUGAAACUUAAAG
rnacentral:rRNA from 1 species